rnacentral:rRNA from 1 species
AUUGAACGCUGGCGGCAGGCCUAACACAUGCAAGUCGAACGAGUGGCGGACGGGUGAGUAAUGUCUGGGAAACUGCCCGAUGGAGGGGGAUAACUACUGGAAACGGUAGCUAAUACCGCAUACCAUCGGAUGUGCCCAGAUGGGAUUAGCUUGUAGGUGAGGUAACGGCUCACCUAGGCGACGAUCCCUAGCUGGUCUGAGAGGAUGACCAGCCACACUGGAACUGAGACACGGUGCAGACGCCUACGGGAGGCAGCAGGGGGGAAUAUGGGACAAUGGGCGGAAGCGUGAUGCAGCCAGGCGGCGUGUAUGAGGAAGGCCUUCGGGUUUUAAAGUACUUUCAGCGGGGAGGCGUUACCCGCAGAAGAAGCACCGGCGAACUCCGUGCCAGCAGCCGCGGUAAUAC